rnacentral:rRNA from 1 species
GAAAGCAGGGAUAAUACCAUAAGACGAGAAGACCCUGUGGAANUUCAAAAACAGCAACCACCCCAAAAUACAUGCACCCCCAACUCGGGCUCACUUACCCCUCUAAGCACUGGUUUGCAUUUUUUCGGUUGGGGCGACCUUGGAGCAAAAAAGAACCUCCAAAAACUGGACCACAACUCCAGACUGAGAGCAACCCCUCAACGUGCGAAUAGCACCCAGACCCAAUAUAAUUGAUCAAUGGACCAAGCUACCCCAGGGAUAACAGCGCAAUCUCCUCCGAGAGUCCAUAUCGAAGGGGAGGUUUACGACCUCGAUGUUGGAUCAGGACAUCCUAGUGGUGCAGCAGCUACUAAGGGUUCGUUUGUUCAACGAUUAACAGUCCUACGUGAUCUGAGUUCAGACCGGAGCAAUCCAGGUCGGUUUCUAUCUAUGAUGAACUCUUCCCCGUACGAAAGGAUAGGAAAAGUGAGGCCAAUACCACAAGCAAGCCUUCGCCUUAAGUAAUGAAGCCAACUCAAUUACAAAAGGCUAUCACUUCCCCCCACGUCCAAGAAAAGG